rnacentral:rRNA from 1 species
GCCUGUUUAUCAAAAACAUGGCCUUUUGGGAAUAAUUUAAGGUCUGGCCUGCCCAAUGAGUUGAUUAAAUGGCCGCGGUACUUUGACCGUGCAAAGGUAGCAUAAUCAUUAGUUUUUUAAUUGAAAGCUGGUAUGAACGGUCGGACAAGAAAAUUACUGUCUCAAUUAAAUGGUUUUAGAAUUUUAUUUUUUAGUAAGAAGGCUAAAAUAGGUUUAGGGGACGAGAAGACCCUAUAGAAUUUUAUAAGCUUUACAAGAUUGAAUUUUUAGUUUAAUUGUUUUAAUUUUAUGAGGUUUAUUUUGUUGGGGUGAUUGAAAAAUUUGAUAAACUUUUUUUUUAUUUAUUCACUUAUAUGUGUUUAGAUGAUCCGUUGUGAAGCGAUUAUAAGAUUAAAUUACCUUAGGGAUAACAGCGUAAUUAGUUUGGAGAGUUCUUAUUGAUAAACUAGUUUGCGACCUCGAUGUUGGAUUAAAAUAAACUUUUGGUGUAGGGGCUGAAAAGUUAAGUCUGUUCGACUUUUAAAAUUUUACAUGAUCUGAGUUCAGACCGG